rnacentral:lncRNA from 1 species
UUUUGCACAUUUGCACAUCCAAACAUAACAUCCAUUUAUAAACAUCCAAAUAUUCACAAUAACAUCCCCACAUAAACAUCCUAAUAAGACAUUCAAAAUAUCCCAAACAUCCAAAAUGUCUAAAAGAACAUCCAAAUAACAACCAUAAAUGACAGAUCCAAAAGGAACAAUCUCAGCCCCUAGGCACAAAUUUAGUUUCGAGGUUCGUGAUUGUGACCUUCUCUCCAUCAAUCGCGUUCCUGUAUUCUCGACCAAUAAGAUCAACAUAGAUCUCUUGGCCAGAUGUCUGAAAAAAAAUAGAAAAACCAUUAGUGACAUGAGCACAAAUUCAUAACAAGAAAAAUGAUAAAAUUAUGGUGACAAUGGUAUACUGUCACCGCUAGCCAUCCACCGUUGAACGAAUAGUUCAUCGGGAUAAGCCCAUUGCAAUUAAACAACAUCAAUCCAUCACCUCUAUAGUGAUGCUCGCUUAGUGGAUUUCCAUGGCCUAAGAUCAAUGAGAUGACACCUCAUUUGUCAUAUCCAUCAACUGCAAUAUAUAUAUAUAUAUAUAUAUAUAUAUAUAUAUAUAUAUAUAUAUAUAAAACAGGAAAUCAUGGGCAGACGAAUGAGAGGAAAAAAAAAACAUUGGCAAUAGCAAAGAAAACAAUGGAAGCUUAAGUAAUAUUACCUACUCUAAGAGAUGCAUUGUUAUAAUUCCUU